rnacentral:rRNA from 1 species
CGAGCGAACAGACGAGGAGCUUGCUCCUCUGACGUUAGCGGCGGACGGGUGAGUAACACGUGGAUAGCCUACCUAUAAGACUGGGAUAACUUCGGGAAACCGGAGCUAAUACCGGAUAAUAUAUUGAACCGCAUGGUUCAAUAGUGAAAGACGGUUUUGCUGUCACUUAUAGAUGGAUCCGCGCCGCAUUAGCUAGUUGGUAAGGUAACGGCUUACCAAGGCAACGAUGCGUAGCCGACCUGAGAGGGUGAUCGGCCACACUGGAACUGAGACACGGUCCAGACUCCUACGGGAGGCAGCAGUAGGGAAUCUUCCGCAAUGGGCGAAAGCCUGACGGAGCAACGCCGCGUGAGUGAUGAAGGUCUUCGGAUCGUAAAACUCUGUUAUUAGGGAAGAACAAAUGUGUAAGUAACUAUGCACGUCUUGACGGUACCUAAUCAGAAAGCCACGGCUAACUACGUGCCAGCAGCCGCGGUAAUACGUAGGUGGCAAGCGUUAUCCGGAAUUAUUGGGCGUAAAGCGCGCGUAGGCGGUUUUUUAAGUCUGAUGUGAAAGCCCACGGCUCAACCGUGGAGGGUCAUUGGAAACUGGAAAACUUGAGUGCAGAAGAGGAAAGUGGAAUUCCAUGUGUAGCGGUGAAAUGCGCAGAGAUAUGGAGGAACACCAGUGGCGAAGGCGACUUUCUGGUCUGUAACUGACGCUGAUGUGCGAAAG